AUAAAGGCUUUGGAAGAAGACCAAGGCUCUAACGAGAAGCGCCGUAUCAGGACACGAAAGGUCAGCGAAUAUAAGUAUCAAGCAAUUGGUAAUAAAGCUGGAUCGCGCAAAGGAAACGUAGUGCUAGUCCCGUUGACAGGACUUGGCCCCAGAACUAAUGAGGAACGAAACAACGGAGUAUCAUUAGAGACAGAAAUCAACAGAGAUCCCGAAAGUAGUGGCGAACGAAAUCGGAUUAUCCCACGUUUAAUGGAUAGGUUCUGAGGAAUCCAUAGAGGGUAACUAGUCUAGACCCUGCAUUCAGAUCCCUAAUCCAGUCCAUCGGGGUGUUCAUUAAUUUACACCCCUGAUUGAUGACGUACGAUGAGUAGGUUGCGUGAUGAGCGUUACUGAAGAGGAGGACCUCCUUCAAAGGAUAAGAGUAGUUAGAGACCGAUAGUGAACAAAGUAGCGUGAGCGAAAGGAUGAAAGAGAACCCAAUCGGGGAUUGAAAUAGAACUGAAAUUCAAAGCUUAAGAGCAGUAGGAGUUCCAUAAGGAUGACUACGUACCUUUUGCAUAAUGGGUCUACGAGUAUAUAGUGUUAGCGAGGUUAAUUCGAGAGAUGUAGCCGAAGCGAAAGCGAUUCAGAGUUAGCAUUAUAUGACCCGAAACGGGAUGAUCUAAGCGUGUUCAAGUGGAUACUUGAGUAAUAUCGAGUUGAAGGCUGAACCAGUUUACGUGGCAAUGUAAUUGGAUGAAAUGCGCUUAGGGGUGAAAGGCUAAUCAAAUUCCGUAAUAGCUGGUUUUCCGCGAAACAUAUUGAAGUAUGACGGUUCCGGGAUUGUAAUAAAUGAAAUCCCCAAUAUUCAUCAUGAAAGGUAAAGCACUGCAAGGAUUCGAAAGACGUUCUGUAAUAGAAUGUAGGGUGGAGUGAAAUCCAUACCUAAUCUAAGCAAACUCAGAAUUAGCAUGAUGGAGAGAACUAGUCGGACUGUAAGCGAUAAGGUUUAUAGUCAAGAGGGAAAGAGCCCUGAUCAAAAGCUAAGGUCUCAAAGUGGAAUUAAGUGUGAAAGGAAGUUUCAAUGCGGAGAUAACAAGAAAGUAGGCUUGGAAACAGCCAUCUUUGAAAGAAAACGUAACAGUUCAUUGAAUAAUUAUGCAAUAGCCUAGUUCUAAACAAGCUUAGUUAUUGCUAACGCAUUGAAGCACCGAAGAUUUCGGAGGCUAAAUUCCAGCACCGAAGCUUUGAACUUAGAGAUAUUAUGCUCUGAGUGGUAGCGGAAGAAUCUGAAUUUAUUGAAUCGAUCUGAAAAGAUCAUAGUCAAUUACUUUCAUCGCAAGAUAAAUCUUUGACUCGUGUCUUUACUGACACACUUUGGAAUUCAGAUGACAAAAUGUAGACAUGAGUAAACAAAAGUCAGUGGAUUGGAAGUCUGAUACGUUGAGAUUAGAUGGAAGAUCUGUGACACUGACUCGCCGAAAGUCCUAGGUUUUCUGCGUCCAGAUAGACUGCGCAGAGUGCAACAGCUCCUAAGAGAAAAGCGAAAGCUGUACUCGAUGGAUUAACUAGAAUGACAAGAGAAUCGCAAUGGCAUUUAGGGUAUCACUACUCUAAUGACAAUGGUUUCGUAUUCAGGAAACAAUUCUAGUAUAUAGACUGUACUUAAUCUGACACCAGUGGACAGACGUUAAUGCGUCAAGGCGUGGAUGGAAUGUUCUCACAGGAACUCGGCACAAAUAAUACCGUAACUUCGGAAUAAGGUAUGUACUGCUUGAGAAAGUAGUAUCGCAGAGAAUGGCAAAGUGCGACUGUUUAUCAAAAACACAGUGUACUGCAAACUCGUAAGAGGAAGUAUAGUACAUGACGUGUCCUCAAUGCUAGUACCUGAAAUCAGCUUAUUUAACGGUAGGCUGUAUAAUGGCUAGUGAUAGGCGUCCUACUCCUGAGGAUGCGAAGGUAGCGAAAUUCCUUGUCUCGUAAUUGGAGACCUGCAUGAUGACGUAACGAUGCUUUGACUGUCUUUGAGAACAAAUCCAUGAAAUUGAAUUAACCGUGCAGAUGCGGUAAUAUGGCUAGGUAGACGAGAAGACCCCUACACCUUUACUAUAGGCAUGUAACAUAUUAAAGAAGAUCUGAGUGUAGAAUAGACGGGAAUAGCGGAGACAAGCUACAGUGAAAUACCGUCCUCUGAUUAUGAGUCUUUCUUUAACUUUAAUACUGCAUGCCAGUUAGUUUUCUUGGGGCGAGACCCUUUUAAAGUGUAACAAAGGGAUAGAAAGUCAAACUACUACUUUUCUCUUGGAGAGUAGCGUCGUGUAAGAGCAUAAGUUUGAUUGACUGUGAGACCUACAAGUCGAGCAGGUGUGUAAGCAGCUUCUAGUGACCCGCUUAUGUUUCGAGGAGAAGUAAGCGAUCAAUGAAUAAAAGGUACGUUGGGGAUAACAGGCUGAUCUGAGCUAAGAGUCCAUAUCGCAGCUUAGGUUUGGCACCUCGAUGUCGGCUAAUCUCAUCCUUCUGGUGCAGAAGCUAGAAAGGGUUCUACUGUUCGUAGAUUAAAGAGGUACUUGAGCUGGGUUCAAUACGUUGUGAAACAGUAUUUUUUCCAUCUUCUAGCCACUUCUUGAUAUCUAUUCCCAAAGAUUUCUUUGUACGAAAGGAUCAGAAAUCUGCAGCCUAUGGUGUAUCAAUUAUGGAUAACAUCUGUACAGUUGAGUAGCCACGCUGUAAUAGAGUAGAUCUGAAAUCAUCUCAAGAUCGAAACUAUGGGAUUGAAGAUAUCUGAUAGCGUUCUGUUGAUAAGGCUACAGGUGUUAGAUUUUUAACGAUUUUAGCUUAGUAGUACGGAACUAUUAACGUAGUUCAUAAUGAAGCUAUUUACGUAGUUCAUUGC
rnacentral:rRNA from 2 species